rnacentral:rRNA from 1 species
CCUACGGGCGGCUGCAGUAAGGAAUAUUGGUCAAUGGACGAAAGUCUGAACCAGCCAUCCCGCGUGCAGGAUGAAAGCCCUAUGGGUUGUAAACUGCUUUUAGCAGAGAAGAAAAGCUUUCAUUAAUGAGAGUCUGACGGUAUCUGCAGAAUAAGCACCGGCUAACUCCGUGCCAGCAGCCGCGGUAAUACGGAGGGUGCGAGCGUUAUCCGGAGUUACGGGGUUGAAGGGGUGGUAAGGCGGAGGAGGUGAAAUCUUGUCGCUUAACGAUAGAAUUGUCAAUGAUACUGGUAGUCUUGAAUUGGGUUGAGGUUAGCGGAAUGUGACAUGUAGCGGUGAAAUGCAUAGAUAUGUCAUGGAACACCAAUUGCGAAGGCAGCUAACUGGGCCUUGAUUGACGCUGAGGCACGAAAGCGUGGGUAGCGAACAAGAUUAGAUACCCUGGUAGUC